GAUUUCGGGCCAACAUAGAAAUAGAAUGUCUAGCCCAUACAAAAGCCGACUCGAUAGCAUGUUCAAGAAGUUUCCCUAUAAAUUAUUUUCGCUAUCUCCCAAAUGUUCGUUUAUUUCCUCUUCUUUUCUCCGAUUAGGGUUCCUUCAUUAUUCUAUUUAGGAAAUUUUAAUUUUCAACUUGUUUUCGUUUAUUCUCUUCGAUUUUGGGUUAAACCGUAGAAGGCUCCUCGCGAAAACGUCAGAUGGCAACUUUAGCUGAUUCAUUCCUUGCGGACCUUGAUGAAUUAUCAGACAACGAAGCCGAUGUUCUGGACGAAGAAAAUAAUGAUGUCGCAAACAUGGAAGAAGAUAUUGAUGGUGACCUUGCGGAUAUCGAAACGCUUAACUACGAUGAUCUGGACAGUGUUUCCAAAUUGCAAAAAAGUCAGAGAUACAUUGAUAUUAUGCAGAAAGUGGAAGAUGCGCUCGAGAAGGGUUCUCAUAUAUCAAAUCAGGGCAUGGUACUGGAAGAUGAUCCUGAGUAUCAGCUGAUUGUGGACUGUAAUGGACUAUCAGUUGAUAUCGAGAAUGAGAUUGUUAUUAUCCAUAAUUUUAUACGUGAUAAGUACCGAUUGAAGUUUCCUGAGCUUGAAUCGCUUGUGCAUCAUCCAAUUGAUUAUGCUCGUGUGGUGAAAAAGAUUGGCAAUGAGAUGGAUUUAACCCUUGUGGAUUUGGAAGGGCUUUUGCCUUCAGCUAUCAUUAUGGUUGUUUCAGUUACAGCAUCAACUACCAGUGGCAAGCCACUUCCUGAAGAUGUUCUCCAGAAAACUGUUGAUGCGUGUGAUCGUGCUCUGGCUCUGGAUACUGCAAAGAAGAAGGUUCUUGAUUUUGUAGAAAGUAGAAUGGGAUAUAUUGCACCAAAUCUUUCUACUAUUGUUGGAAGUGCUGUUGCUGCUAAACUUAUGGGUACUGCUGGCGGUCUUUCAGCAUUAGCUAAGAUGCCUGCUUGUAAUGUUCAGCUGCUUGGUGCGAAGAAAAAGACCCUUGCAGGGUUUUCCACUGCAACGUCACAGUUUCGUGUUGGGUAUAUUGAACAGACAGAGAUUUUUCAAACUACACCCCCUGCUUUGAGGAGUCGUGCUUGUCGUCUCUUGGCUUCUAAAGCAACUCUUGCAGCACGUAUAGACUCUACUAGAGGGGAUCCUUUAGGGAAUGCUGGAAAAACCUUAAAGGAAGAAAUUCAUAAGAAAAUUGAAAAAUGGCAAGAACCACCUCCUGCAAAGCAGCCUAAACCACUUCCUGUUCCUGAUUCUGAACCUAAGAAAAAGAGGGGUGGUCGUCGCUUAAGGAAGAUGAAAGAAAGGUAUGCUAUAACAGAUAUGAGGAAGCUAGCGAACAGGAUGCAAUUUGGAGUACCUGAGGAAAGCUCUUUAGGUGAUGGACUAGGUGAAGGUUAUGGAAUGCUUGGUCAGGCUGGGAGUGGCAAACUGCGUGUUUCAAUUGGUCAGAGCAAACUUGCAGCCAAAGUUGCUAAGAAGUUCAAGGAAAAGAAUUACGGAAGCAGUGGUGCCACCUCUGGGCUGACUUCAAGUUUGGCAUUCACACCUGUGCAGGGGAUUGAGCUCACAAAUCCUCAAGCUCAUGCACAUCAGCUUGGCAGUGGAACUCAAAGUACUUACUUCUCAGAGACAGGAACAUUUUCAAAGAUCAAGAGGACAUAGAAAGGGAAGAAGCUCACCUAAUUAGAUGACAUUUGGUUAUGCUGUAAUUACGCAUUUGAUAAGAGUUUUAUAGACUAAAGCACAAGUUUUGUUAGCUUAGCUGGCUAUAUUUGCCCCUUCUUUGUAAGCUACCAGUCACUGUUUCCCUGUUAUCUUCCAGAAUCCCCUGUUUUUAAAGAAGAACUGAUGAAGGCAGCAAUCAGCUGGUGAAAGAUUGAAGAGAACCAUCAGCAGCAACCAGUGUCAUAGGGUCAUUACUCUUCUCUUCUCAAAGGACUUGUAUGAUAAGGAUAUCCAUUUGAGUUUAUUGUAGCUAAUGAAUAUUAUUGAAGGAAUUGGAAUGUGAUUAUAUUUGAUGUGAAGAAUAGAGCAUCGAGUCUAUUUUGCUGCGUUUAUAAUUUCAUUUGAGUUUAUUAUAGCUAUUUUGAUAUAUGAUUAAAAUUUGUUAAGGAUUAAAUUGAUAGAAUUUGUAAAUGUAUACUAAAUUUGUUGACUUAUUUAGAAUUACGGCCAAAUUGAGGAUUUAAAUGUGUUAUUAUACCAAUUAAAAAAAGAGUGAGUCAUAAUUUUCAUAAAAAAGCAGCAGAGGAAUUGGCGAGUGAUGAAAGUUUUUGUAGUUGGGGAAGUAUGAAAAUUAGAUGGUUUAUGGUUAUAAUAGAAUGUGGAUUAGAGUUUGUAAGUGGUAAAAACUAAAUAAGAGAUUUGUGAGUAGUGAUGUCCUUUUUGAGGGCCCAUUUUCAACA